rnacentral:rRNA from 1 species
UACGGGGGGGGCAAGCGUUGUUCGGAAUUACUGGGCGUAAAGGGCUCGUAGGUGGCCAACUAAGUCAGACGUGAAAUCCCUCGGCUUAACCGGGGAACUGCGUCUGAUACUGGAUGGCUAGAGAUUGGGAGAGGGAUGCGGAAUUCCAGGUGUAGCGGUGAAAUGCGUAGAUAUCAAGAGGAACACCUGAGGUGAAGACGGGUUGCUGGGCCAACACUGACGCUGAUGCGCGAAAGCCAGGGGAGCAAACGGG